AUGGCCAUCAUCUUGUUCUCCCAUUGCGCACAAGGCGUGGACAAAUGUAUCAAGAGUGGCGUGUGCAUCUCCGUCUGCCCUACUUUGUGUCUCGAACUGGUCGGUGAUGACACAAGAUUUCAGUUUGACGCCUCUUGGCUCCUUAUUGAGGGUUUCUGUGACCUCCUGGGGUCUAAAAUCAGUGCGAUUCUGUCUGCGCCUCAUCGUUCCUUUGGUCCCAUGGAUGAUUGGCAUAAUUGUUCGGCCUUGCUUCGCAAAUUCCUUCGGGGAUGGUCCCGGAACUAUUCGGCCCAGGAACGCAGGGACAAGGCCCUUCUUUUGACCCAGAUUGAGAUCCUUGAUGCUCGGGCGGAUGCCUCUGGCCUCUCUGAUUCUGAUUGGUCCCUUCGGUUCUCCCUUGAACGUGCGUUGAUGCACCUGCAUCGGCUUAACGAGAUUUACUGGCGCCAGAGGGGCACGUCCAACUGGCUCCUAAAAGGGGAUUCUCCCUCUGCUUACUUCUUUGCGAUUGCGAAUGGGAGACGGCGCAGAUGUCUAAUUGAUAGCCUGAUUAUUGAUGGGAUCCCUAUCUCUGAGCUUGCGUCGAGUAAUUGGGACCUUCAGCUGCGCCACUCCCUCUCUCCUGUAGAGUUGGAAGACUGGCAGCGUCUUGCUGCCCUCUUCCCUUCGCUCUCGGAGGAGGAAGACACAGUUGUGUGGCCCCACUCUCCCUCUGGCCGCUUCUCGGUUAAAUCCUUGUAUAGCAAACUUAUUGAGGGAUCCAUCACCUCCAAAUUUAAGUGGAUAUGGGAAGCUCGCAUCCUAAGGAUGGCAAUUUUACCCAUGGGUACGGGUACCCGCGGAUCAUGGUUGCAUGUCUCCUGGGCUCCGACCUCCUUUGCGGACUUACGAGCCUUGGCUAAUUCUUUGGUUGGGGCCCAGAGGAGAUUGUUUUGGGUCGGCUUUGCUGCCAUGUGUUGGUCCUUAUGGACGACAAGGAAUAAAUUUACUAUCGAACAUGUCUUUCCUGCUAAGCAUGCCGAUUGCUUAUUCAAGACUUGUAUAUUCCUGCAGCAGUGGAGAUUAUUGACUAAGAAGGAGGACAGGGAUGCAUUUGACGCCAUGUUGGCCAAGAUCCGAAAUUCUGCUAUCUCCAUCCUUCCAAACCAAGCGGGGCCGUAG
rnacentral:rRNA from 1 species